rnacentral:rRNA from 1 species
AGUGAACGCUGGCGGUAGGCCUAACACAUGCAAGUCGAACGGCAGCACAGGAGAGCUUGCUCUCUGGGUGGCGAGUGGCGGACGGGUGAGGAAUACAUCGGAAUCUACUUUUUCGUGGGGGAUAACGUAGGGACACUUACGCUAAUACCGCAUACGACCUACGGGUGAAAGCAGGGGACCUUCGGGCCUUGCGCGAUUGAAUGAGCCGAUGUCGGCUUAGCUAGUUGGCGGGGUAAAGGCCCACCAAGGCGACGAUCCGUAGCUGGUCUGAGAGGAUGAUCAGCCACACUGGAACUGAGACACGGUCCAGACUCCUACGGGAGGCAGCAGUGGGGAAUAUUGGACAAUGGGCGCAAGCCUGAUCCAGCCAUACCGCGUGGGUGAAGAAGGCCUUCGGGUUGUAAAGCCCUUUUGUUGGGAAAGAAAUCCAGCUGGCUAAUACCCGGUUGGGAUGACGGUACCCAAAGAAUAAGCACCGGCUAACUUCGUGCCAGCCGCCGCGGUAA